ACCGAAUAACCAAGCAAGAUGUUAUAACCGAGCAAGAUGUUUAAAAGAAUUAAGGCUCAGUUAAAACACUAAUAUUAACUCUUCACUACUCUCCAUCUCAUCUUCUCUUUUCUCAGUUUUCAGAUCUCAACUCUCAGUGUCUCACCAUUGGUCAAUCUCCCAUAUCUUUAAUCUCUCGAUCUCUCAUCUCUACUCUAACAGAUCUCGAUCUCUAAUCUCUCAGAUCUCAAUCACUCAUCAGUCAUCAUCUCGAUCUCUAACUCUCAGAUCUCAGAUCUCUAUCAUCAGCCUCCGAACGAUGAACAGUAAGGACGAAACUUCCAUGGAUAGCAUUUCAAGAAGGAGCUACAGCUUCUGGAUCCAUUUAUUUUCUCUCUCCUCUCGUCGGACGCACUUCUUUGUAGUAAUUGAGGGGAUUGGACUUUGGAGUAAUUGAUACAACACUGAAGGGGCUAUUCGGUGCAGCUACUUGACUUAUUUGGAUAAAAAAAAUUUUGUUGAUUGCCUAGUAUAUGUGACCAACUGCUCUGUUGUUUUUGUCUACCUCUCUCUAGUAUCUGAUUUCAAGUUUUUUCUGUAUUUGAAGCAAUAUUUGUAAUGGAUUUGGUUUUGUUUUAGAAAUCAGUAAUAUAUUUCUUAAUUUCGGUUUUUAUCCGAACAACCGAAUAAUAAAUUCGAUAAUUCAGUAAUUCGAUUAUUGAGAAAUUUGAUUAUUUGUUCGGAUAUCAAAAUUAUACAAAUUUCAGUUAUGACCGAAUAACCUAUUCGAUUCGGUUAUAACCGAAUGAUCGGCCCUAAUAGAACCUAUACCAUAUUUAAACAUUAAUGGUAUAUUACAUUGAAUCGAUAGAGAGUAAAUAACCAAGUUAAAUAAUUUAUAAAAACAAAUCUGAUAAAUCCAUGAAAAAAAUGAUUAUAGACUAUUUUUUUGAAAGAAAAAAUAAUUAUUUAGAAUGUCAAAAAA
rnacentral:lncRNA from 1 species